GAGAGGAGCCUUCGCACCUUCCCUCAAGCAGCAGGGAACCUUAGGUCCUCCGCUUCACACCGCAGACCAGCACCUACUGCACCUGUUCAACAAAAUAAGAGACCCAGAUCGAUGACUCAGGCUCCCCCCUCAAGUUCCAGCAGCAGGACGUGGUAAGAUCUGUCAGCAUUGUGGCAAGGAUCAUGGGGAUCGACCCUGCUAUCGCCUCAACAACACCUACCGAAUAUGUGGUAGCGCCCAACAUUACGCAAGGGAGUGUCCGAGCAACCAGAACUAGGCCAGACCUCGUAUCCAAGGCAGGGCUUACAAUCUCACUCAGCAGUAUGCAUAAGCCAACCUGGAAGUGGUACAUGGUAUGCACACUAUACGUAACCAUCUUGCUCAUGUCUUGAUUGAUACUGGUGCAUCGCAUUCAUUUGUUUGACAUGUUUUUGCAUCAAAAUUAAAUAUAUCAUCUGAAAAACUUGAUUUUGUGUUAUUUGUGUCUACUCUUGGGAGCAGGACACUACUGGGGGAG
rnacentral:lncRNA from 1 species